rnacentral:rRNA from 1 species
UCUAGAAAGAUCCUACGGGUGGCUGCAGUGGGGAAUCUGGGACAAUGGGCGCAAGCCUGAUCCAGCCAUGCCGCGUGAGUGAAGAAGGCCUUAGGGUUGUAAAGCUCUUUUGGCAGGGACGAUAAUGACGGUACCUGCAGAAUAAGCCCCGGCAAACUUCGUGCCAGCAGCCGCGGUAAUACGAAGGGGGCUAGCGUUGUUCGGAAUUACUGGGCGUAAAGCGCACGUAGGCGGGUUGUUAAGCCAGGGGUGAAAUCCUGGAGCUCAACUCCAGAACUGCCUUUGAUACUGGCAACCUAGAGACUGGAAGAGGUUAGUGGAAUUCCCAGUGUAGAGGUGAAAUUCGUAGAUAUUGGGAAGAACACCAGUGGCGAAGGCGGCUAACUGGUCCAGCACUGACGCUGAGGUGCGGAAGCGUGGGGAGGAAACAGGAUUACAUACGCUUGUACUC